UACGGGAGGCAGCAGUAGGGAAUCUUCCACAAUGGGCGAAAGCCUGAUGGAGCAAUGCCGCGUGAGUGAAGAAGGUUUUCGGAUCGUAAAACUCUGUUGUUGAAGAAGAACAUGCGUGAGAGUAACUGUUCACGUACUGACGGUAUUCAACCAGAAAGCCACGGCUAACUACGUGCCAGCAGCCGCGGUAAUACGUAGGUGGCAAGCGUUGUCCGGAUUUAUUGGGCGUAAAGAGAAUGUAGGCGGUUUAUUAAGUUUGAAGUGAAAGCCCUCGGCUCAACCGAGGAAGUGCUUCGAAAACUGGUAAACUUGAGUGCAGAAGAGGAAAGUGGAACUCCAUGUGUAGCGGUGGAAUGCGUAGAUAUAUGGAAGAACACCAGUGGCGAAGGCGGCUUUCUGGUCUGUAACUGACGCUGAGAUUCGAAAGCAUGGGUAGCAAACAGGAUUAGAUACCCUGGUAGUCCAUGCCGUAAACGAUGAGUGCUAAGUGUUGGAGGGUUUCCGCCCUUCAGUGCUGCAGCUAACGCAUUAAGCACUCCGCCUGGGGAGUACGACCGCAAGGUUGAAACUCAAAGGAAUUGACGGGGGCCCGCACAAGCGGUGGAGCAUGUGGUUUAAUUCGAAGCAACGCGAAGAACCUUACCAGGUCUUGACAUACCAUGAAAAGCUAAGAGAUUAGUCUUUCCCUUCGGGGACAUGGAUACAGGUGGUGCAUGGUUGUCGUCAGCUCGUGUCGUGAGAUGUUGGGUUAAGUCCCGCAACGAGCGCAACCCUUAUUAUCAGUUGCCAGCAUUCAGUUGGGCACUCUGGUGAGACUGCCGGUGACAAACCGGAGGAAGGUGGGGACGACGUCAAAUCAUCAUGCCCCUUAUGACCUGGGCUACACACGUGCUACAAUGGUCGGUACAACGUGUUGCGAACUCGCGAGGGCAAGCAAAUCACUUAAAACCGAUCUCAGUUCGGAUUGCAGGCUGCAACUCGCCUGCAUGAAGCUGGAAUCGCUAGUAAUCGCGGAUCAGCAUGCCGCGGUGAAUACGUUCCCGGGCCUUGUACACACCGCCCGUCACACCAUGAGAGUUUGUAACACCCAAAGUCGGUGGGGUAACCCUUCGGGGAACUAGCCGCCUAA
rnacentral:rRNA from 2 species